rnacentral:lncRNA from 1 species
UGUGAGAUCUUCGCCUUGGAACUUGACUUUGGAGGAGCUGGGUCUUGAAAUCUCAGACUGCUUCUCCAUGGACUGCCAUGUGGUAGAUUUGUGAGAAGGCCAGAGAGCUGGUCAAUGAUCAUCAAGGAAUGAAUGGAACAAACAAAGCUGGAUUAAUAGUUCCCUGUAUAGGUGGUGUCUGAGAGAGGACAAAAGAAGAGAGAAACUCAGGAUUUGGUGCCUUUUGCCCCCAAGAGCUUUGGUACCUUCUUAGCUGAGGGAUCUCCAAUUUUCUCUAGCUUUCCCAAACCUUUCUCUUCCUAGUCCAAAUAAACUCAUCUA